rnacentral:rRNA from 1 species
UACGGAGGGUGCAAGCGUUGUCCGGAUUUAUUGGGUUUAAAGGGUGCGUAGGCGGGGGAUUAAGUCAGUGGUGAAAGUCUUGGGCUCAACCCAGGAAUUGCCAUUGAUACUGAUUUUCUUGAGUGUCGAUGGGGUACAUGGAAUUUAUGGUGUAGCGGUGAAAUGCAUAGAUACCAUAAGGAACACCGAUAGCGAAGGCAUUGUACUUAUCGAUAACUGACGCUGAGGCA